UACGUAGGGUGCGAGCGUUGUCCGGAAUUAUUGGGCGUAAAGGGCUCGUAGGCGGUUUGUCGCGUCGGGAGUGAAAACCUCGGGCUUAACUCGGGGCUUGCUUUCGAUACGGGCAGACUGGAGGUAUGCAGGGGAGAACGGAAUUCCUGGUGUAGCGGUGAAAUGCGCAGAUAUCAGGUGGAACACCGGUGGCGAAGGCGGCAUUCUGGACCGAUAUUGACGCUGAGGAGCGAAAGCCAGGGGAGCAAACGGG
rnacentral:rRNA from 1 species